rnacentral:rRNA from 1 species
GAUGAACGCUGGCGGCGUGCCUAAUACAUGCAAGUCGAACGCAUAGCGAAAGGUGCUUGCACCUUUCAAGUGAGUGGCGAACGGGUGAGUAACACGUGGACAACCUGCCUCAAGGCUGGGGAUAACAUUUGGAAACAGAUGCUAAUACCGAAUAAAACUUAGUGUCGCAUGACACAAAGUUAAAAGGCGCUUCGGCGUCACCUAGAGAUGGAUCCGCGGUGCAUUAGUUAGUUGGUGGGGUAAAGGCCUACCAAGACAAUGAUGCAUAGCCGAGUUGGGAGACUGAUCGGCCACAUUGGGACUGAGACACGGCCCAAACUCCUACGGGAGGCUGCAGUAGGGAAUCUUCCACAAAGGGCGAAAGCCUGAUGGAGCAACGCCGCGUGUGUGAUGAAGGCUUUCGGGUCGUAAAGCACUGUUGUAUGGGAAGAACAGCUAGAAUAGGAAAUGAUUUUAGUUUGACGGUACCAUACCAGAAAGGGACGGCUAAAUACGUG